AAGGAGAUCAGUCCUGGGUUUUCAUUGGAAGGACUGAUGCUGAAGCUGAAUCUCCAGUACUUUGACCACCUGCUGCAGAGAGCUAACUCAGUGGAAAAUACCCAGAUGCUGAGAAAGAUUGAAGGCAGGUGAGAAGGGGAUGACAGAGGAUGAGAUGGUUGGAUGGCAUCACCGACUCG